rnacentral:lncRNA from 1 species
GUUUUCAUGGUGUGAUCUUGUUUACUUCAAUAUUGUCAUUAAAUCUCAUUCUUUAUAAUCUGAUUUGGGAUCAACAAGUGGUAUCGGAGCUUCCGCACCCAACAAGUGGUAUCAGAGCUUGGUUCCUUUCGUAGAUUGGUUGAGAUUUUUUGGGAUGGUUGGGUUGAAGUAUGAUAUUCUGCAACUAGAUCGCAAUACAAGGUUUUCUUUGUGGUAAGAAAAGAUGAGGGCUGUUCUAGUGCAAUUAGAUUUGGACGAUACGUUGCUGGGUUUUGAGAAGAUGCUAGUUGAUUGGACAAUGGAGGAGAAACAACGGAAGGAGGGAAGGCUGUGUCGUUGAUUCAUCUUCAUUUAUCCAACAAUAUUCUGCAGGAUGUCUUGAAGGAGAAGAUGGAGGCUACUUUGUGGUUGAGACUAGAGCAGUUAUACAUGUCUAAUAGUCUUACCAGUAAACUGACUCUUAAGUAGAAGCUAUAUUCCCAUCGCAUGACGGAGAGAGGGUCGUUGGAAGAUCAGAUUACCAUGUUUAAAGAAAUAGUUGCAGCUUUGAAAACAUUGGAGGUUAAGUACGAUGAACAGGAUCUUGCCUUGUUUUUGUUGUGUUCGCUGCCUGGUUCUUAUGCGUCGUUUCGAGACACCAUCUUGUAUAGUCGAGAUAUUUUGACUAUAGACGAUGUCUAUGAUGCUUUGCACUCAAAGGAGAAGAUGAAGCAUUUGAUUGGAGCUACAUCAAGGGAUGGGAAAGCUCUUGUAUCUCAAGGUGGUUGACGGAGAGGCAGAUCAAAAGUCAACUUUAGCAAUGUGUAUUGUUACUACUGUAAACGGAAUGGACAUAUUCGAAAGGAUUGUGAUAUGUUGCUGGCUAGAGAUGAUUUAAUUGCAAAUCGUGGAGCGCAACCUUUGACUUCAGAUGAAAUCAAUGUAGUUGAGAAUUUUU